AACUAUUGAUGCCAAAAAAUAUAUUAUGUACCAAAAUAACAAAAACAUUACGUUAAUCAUAUAAAAGAUGAUCUAGAAUUAAAGAUGAAUGGUCAAAAUGUCGGAAACCGAAAAAGGUGUUUCACACUGCGGACAUGUACUUGUUUUAUGCUCAUAAAAAGGUUCCAUACAAUUAGAACAAAAGGCAUGACCACAGUUUGGAAUGAGUUUAGAUUUCCAAUUAGAAAAGUUGCACACGGAGCAUUUUAACAUUCCUUUGUAUACUUGAGCCUCUUGUGUUUCAUAUGCCUGGUUUAUAAGAUGAGACUCUUUCUUAUUAUACGAAGCUUUUAUGGAUAAAAUAGUAUGCUCUUCUUGCAAAUGAAACAACUUCUGAUGCAUGAUCAUAAGCUUUUCCCCAGAUUUUUGAACAGACUCUAUAAGAUCUUCAAGUUUUUGAGUAAGUUUUGUUUGCUUAACUUGUAAGUGCUUAUCUUCUGUUAAAACUUCGACCGAGUGUUUCCCGUAGAUUUCCUUUAUUUGUUUAUAAACUUCCAAUUCAGCUUUUAAAGAGGAUUCAUAUUUUGUUAGCGCAUGUUCUCGCUCUUGCAACUUCCCUAUAUAAUCAUGUUCUUUAUUUUCGGCCAGUUUAAGAGUUUUCUUCUCUGUCAUAAGAAUGUCCCGAGCUUUCAUGGCAGCAAAAUAUUUUUGGGUGGCACGAGCCUUUUCAUAAUGCAUUUCCAAAGCUUUUUUCUCCUUCGUUUCAAGUUCUUCAUAUUUCUUCAACAAACGAGAUUGUGAUUGAUCAAAUGCUGCAUACAUACUUGGGAGUUCAGCCUCCAAACAACUAUUAUUUUUUAUUAGUUUUUCCAAAGCUGAAGACGCAGAAAUUUCUUCUUUUUCAUCUAGGACAUUAUUCAUCUCACCAGUCUUAGACCUUUCAAUACGAUCCCAUAUGCACAAUCGAUUUGAAUAACCUUCUAGAAUUGCAACCCGAGCGUUUGACAAGUUGCUUAAUAAAAGCAUCAUAUCGUCAAAAAAUAGAUUGUUAGUAUAUUGCAUUUGUUGUUUCGCCACUAGAGAGUCUCGUUCGUUACGAAUUUGGGUUAAAGAUGAUUCAAGGGUUUUAAUAAGUUGUUGUUUCUCUUUUACACAUGCCAAUUUUAAAUCAAUAAUAUCCUUCUGUCGUUUCGUCCGUUGAGAAAUAAAAAACUGAAUGUCCUCAAACAAUGAAGAGAGGUCCCGAUUAAUGGAUUCGAUUUUCUCUUCAUUUGAAGAAAGAACCCCCUUCAGCUCUAAAUAAUGGGGCUCUCUACUCACUCUUUCAUCCGUUAUACCCAUAAUGUCGACGUACAAUUGUGCUGCACGAGUUGAUUUUUGAGAAAGUUCAUCCAAUUUGGAAUUUAUAUUUGCUUGCAUCAAAUCAGCUUGAGAUUGAAAAUUGUUUUUUAGUUUUGAAAUAUUAUCAUUAUCAUUUAAACAUCCUUCCCCAUUUUCGAGAAUUGCUUUUGGUUCCGAAGCAGGGAUAUCAUCAGCGAUAUUUUCAAUACUUCUUUCGGAAGCACUAGUAAGCUGAUCUUGCUGCACCCGUUUCCAUUCUAAUUCAGCUGAAUUCAAAGCUUCACGAAAGAAGGAAAGUUUCCUUUUUAGGAGUGCCAACUUAAGUUGGCUAGUACGGUAAUUAAUCAUACUUGUAAAAUGAACCUGGCGUUGGUCUAUCCAUUCAUGGACGUUUGGAGUUUCUUUUAAUUUAAAAGAACCAAAUUUAGCUAACUUUUGUAGAGUAGGUUCAUGGGCUUGAAAAUAGGAAGCAUACUUAUUCAAAUAGUUUUGCGCAUCUUUGAUUAAACUGAACUCAGCAAGUGACAAAUCUAGUGUCUGUAAAUUAUCAUCAGGUUGAUAUAAAGAAGCAGUGAUUUUCUCUAGUUCUUCAAAUGAUUGUUCAUGAUUUUCCAGAGCAGCAGCAACGUAAUGAUCAAGUUUCAAAACUAGAGAUUCCCAAUACUCGUAUAAUUUCUUUUCCAAAACAGUGAGAUGCUCAUACUCUCUAGAUCUUCGCCAAGCUGCUUCCUUUUGAAAUAACUCUAAGUCAUCUUCUUCUCCGAGGUCUAAACGACGCGUUUCUUUUUCGCUGUGAAUAAGACGUCUUCUUUUCCUCGAUUCAUUCACAACGCUCAUUCCACUUCAAAAAAAUUCCUUUUCUAUUUUAUAAUUAAAAUAAAGUACUUAGGAUCAAAAUAUGUGCUCAUUAACAUUCACUAAGCCAAUUCCUACGGUUAAUGAGUUUUUUCAGGUU